rnacentral:rRNA from 1 species
UACGUAGGGUGCAAGCGUUGUCCGGAAUUAUUGGGCGUAAAGAGUUCGUAGGCGGUUUGUCGCGUCCGUUGUGAAAGCUUGGGGCUCAACCCCAAGUCUGCAGUGGAUGCGGGCAGACUAGAGUCAGGUAGGGGAGAACGGAAUUCCUGGUGUAGCGGUGAAAUGCGCAGAUAUCAGGAGGAACACCGGUGGCGAAGGCGGUUCUCUGGGCCUGUACUGACGCUGAGGAACGAAAGUGUGGGGAGCGAACAGG